AUUGAACGCUGGCGGCAGGCCUAACACAUGCAAGUCGAGCGGAAACGAGUUAUCUGAACCUUCGGGGAACGAUAACGGCGUCGAGCGGCGGACGGGUGAGUAAUGCCUAGGAAAUUGCCCUGAUGUGGGGGAUAACCAUUGGAAACGAUGGCUAAUACCGCAUGAUGCCUACGGGCCAAAGAGGGGGACCUUCGGGCCUCUCGCGUCAGGAUAUGCCUAGGUGGGAUUAGCUAGUUGGUGAGGUAAGGGCUCACCAAGGCGACGAUCCCUAGCUGGUCUGAGAGGAUGAUCAGCCACACUGGAACUGAGACACGGUCCAGACUCCUACGGGAGGCAGCAGUGGGGAAUAUUGCACAAUGGGCGCAAGCCUGAUGCAGCCAUGCCGCGUGUAUGAAGAAGGCCUUCGGGUUGUAAAGUACUUUCAGUCGUGAGGAAGGUGGUGUAGUUAAUAGCUGCAUUAUUUGACGUUAGCGACAGAAGAAGCACCGGCUAACUCCGUGCCAGCAGCCGCGGUAAUACGGAGGGUGCGAGCGUUAAUCGGAAUUACUGGGCGUAAAGCGCAUGCAGGUGGUUUGUUAAGUCAGAUGUGAAAGCCCGGGGCUCAACCUCGGAAUUGCAUUUGAAACUGGCAGACUAGAGUACUGUAGAGGGGGGUAGAAUUUCAGGUGUAGCGGUGAAAUGCGUAGAGAUCUGAAGGAAUACCGGUGGCGAAGGCGGCCCCCUGGACAGAUACUGGCACUCAGAUGCGAAAGCGUGGGGAGCAAACAGGAUUAGAUACCCUGGUAGUCCACGCCGUAAACGAUGUCUACUUGGAGGUUGUGGCCUUGAGCCGUGGCUUUCGGAGCUAACGCGUUAAGUAGACCGCCUGGGGAGUACGGUCGCAAGAUUAAAACUCAAAUGAAUUGACGGGGGCCCGCACAAGCGGUGGAGCAUGUGGUUUAAUUCGAUGCAACGCGAAGAACCUUACCUACUCUUGACAUCCAGAGAACUUUCCAGAGAUGGAUUGGUGCCUUCGGGAACUCUGAGACAGGUGCUGCAUGGCUGUCGUCAGCUCGUGUUGUGAAAUGUUGGGUUAAGUCCCGCAACGAGCGCAACCCUUAUCCUUGUUUGCCAGCGAGUAAUGUCGGGAACUCCAGGGAGACUGCCGGUGAUAAACCGGAGGAAGGUGGGGACGACGUCAAGUCAUCAUGGCCCUUACGAGUAGGGCUACACACGUGCUACAAUGGCGCAUACAGAGGGCGGCCAACUUGCGAAAGUGAGCGAAUCCCAAAAAGUGCGUCGUAGUCCGGAUUGGAGUCUGCAACUCGACUCCAUGAAGUCGGAAUCGCUAGUAAUCGUGGAUCAGAAUGCCACGGUGAAUACGUUCCCGGGCCU
rnacentral:rRNA from 1 species